CCUACGGGGGGCAGCAGUGGGGAAUAUCGCGCAAUGGGGGAAACCCUGACGCAGCAACGCCGCGUGAGUGAAGAAGGUCUUCGGAUCGUAAAACUCUGUCAUCGGGGACGAAGAAGUGACGGUACCCGAAGAGGAAGCCCCGGCUAACUACGUGCCAGCAGCCGCGGUAAUACGUAGGGGGCGAGCGUUGUCCGGAAUUACUGGGCGUAAAUGGUGCGUAGGCGGUAUGUUAAGUCAGGUGUGAAAUCCCACGGCUCAACUGUGGUGUUGCACUUGAAACUGGCAUGCUAGAGUGCAGGAGAGGGAAGUGGAAUUACUAGUGUAGCGGUGAAAUGCGUAGAGAUUAGGAGGAACACCAGUGGCGAAGGCGGCUUCCUGGCCUGUAACUGACGCUGAGGCACGAAAGCGUGGGUAGCGAACAGGAUUAGAUACCCGUGUAGUC
rnacentral:rRNA from 1 species